CCCCCCCCAAAGGCUCCCACGUGCCUCACCCAGAAGACUCAACCACUGUCUUUGAAAAAGAUGAAAGAAGGAGAUAACUUCCAAUGAAAGAUGGGAAUGAAAGACAGAGAGAUUUGCUCUGCUUCCUGGCCAUGCAGCAACUAGAGCAUUCAACAGAUCUUGGGGACAGUGACUCAGGAAGAUGCCCUCCCCCCAGGAGAAUGAGGGAGAAGACUGGGUGAGCCCUCCUGGGUAUGGGUCCACCUCUCAGCUAUGUGGAACACCUGUGUGUUCCAGACUGUCCUGUGUGUCAGAAUCAUCACAGGAGGGCUUCCUGGAGCUGAUGGCUGGGAUCUGACUAUUCCCAGUUCCUGCAAGUUCCCAGGGCUGUAGAAGAUACUCAACUGGGUCACUGAUCUCAAUCCAGCAAUGAGUUGAGAAAGCCCUGGAGGAUGACACAGAUCCCAGCACCACGGAGCCAGUUACGGAUUUAAGAGGCACCCACAGAGAGAGCCACAUGGCUGGAGUGGCGCAAGGAGUGUCAGCAAGAGUGCUCCCCUCUGAGACUCAGGACUGACACUGUGUCUGAAUGAAGUACCAGAAGGAAGGAAAUUUUCAUUACCAAGUCCUAACCUGGGAGAGAUCUGGAAAGCUCUCUGGAGUCAGCCUGUCCUGAGCCUCUCCCAAAGGCGACCCAGCGCAGAGCAAGCACAGCCCUGCAGCCCACAGGGUCUCACCUACACCCUAUGGCCAGUGUCUGGGGAGU